rnacentral:rRNA from 1 species
GAUGAACGCUGGCGGCGUGCCUAAUACAUGCAAGUCGAGCGAACGGACGAGAAGCUUGCUUCUCUGCUGUUAGCGGCGGACGGGUGAGUAACACGUGGAUAACCUACCUAUAAGACUGGGAUAACUUCGGGAAACCGGAGCUAAUACCGGAUGAUAUUUUGAACCGCAUGGUUCACAAGUGAAAGACGGUCUUGCUGUCACUUAUAGAUGGAUCCGCGCUGCAUUAGCUAGUUGGUAAGGUAACGGCUUACCAAGGCUGCGAUGCAUAGCCGACCUGAGAGGGUGAUCGGCCACACUGGAAGUGAGACACGUUCCAGACUCCUACGGGAGGCAGCAGUAGGGAAUCUUCCGCAAUGGGCGAGAGCCUAACGGAGCAACGCCGCGUGAGUGAUGAAGGUCUUCUGAUCGUAAAACUCUGUUAUUAGGGAAGAACAUAUGUGUAAUUAACUGGGCACAUCUUGACGGUACCUAAUCAGAAAGCCACGGCUAACUACGUG